AAAGUUUAAUUUUUAAUUAAAUCUGAAAUACCAAUUAUAACUGAAAGAGAUUUUAACCUGUUUCUUUUCAGACUGCCUGAAGUUACAUUGUAGAUGCUGAAAUCACUGCACCUUAAAAACAAAAAGAUUAAGCCACACUGCAUUCCUAAUGUUGGAAUUUUUGGACUGUGCAUCUGUUUAGGCACGUGGAGAAAGACAAGACUGAGAUCAUCAGUGGUUGGCAGUUUUCCUCAACUUCGCGAGAGAGAGAUUUGGUUGGAAUGAAACCUUGCUCUGCGUACAGCCUGCUUGAGAUGCAGCAUUGAAAGAUCACUCACAAUCAGUUUGUGGCCUUUCUCUGGAGGAACCUUUCCGUGUCUCUUGUGUGAGUAUUUAUAACAUUUUUUUACUUUUCAUUGAUAUAAGUUGUGCCUUUUCUUCAAGUUCCAUCAAAGUCAGCCUGGGGCCUCUGUUGCUUCCCAUGGCCACAGGACUCAAUACUGAAUUUUUAUUCUAAUGCAGUCCAAGAUUUCACUAGUAGUGUCACUUUAUGGGACUCAGAUUUUAGUUCAGUGACAUUGUAUGAUUGAUUGAUUGAUCUGGAAUUUAUAUGUGCAUUUCUGGAUAACAAUAUGGAAGAUUUCUGUUUAUAUGUGGGGGUAUGCUUGUUCUGAUGGACAUUGUGCUGUUGUGUGCUAGUUCAGGAUGAAAUAUAAAGUAUUCCAUGCUGUGCAAGUGCAAAGCAAGUGCAGAAAACAGUCAACUAGCAUUGCAACCUGUCCACGCUGAAGUUUGACCCUGUGGUGUGGGACCCUUUCUUACCCAGUCCUGGCUGCUCUCUGAGCUGCUCUUCUUAUCUGAGUAGAUUAAAUGUGCUGUAUUCUCAUUGACAUUCAGUAGUAUCAGGAUUAAAAAUCUGUCAGUGAUUUCUUUGGAAGGUGUUAUGCAGGAUUCUUUUCUCACCUAGUCACAUUCAUUUGAGUUUGGUUGCUGCUUUGUAGGUUGGUGAUUCGCUGACCUUUUUAACUGAAGAAAUUAUUAUGUUUAUCCAGAUAAUUGUGUUUUCAAGACCCAGAACAGGAAGAAUUAAUUUUUUUCAUGGUUUAAGUUUUGUUCUUUUUCUUUUUGUGGGGGGAAUAAGGGAUGGAGCCUUUGGGAGUGUUUGUUUGUUAUCACUUGAGUUUUAAUUUUGUUAGGUUCUGACACACGACAGUUUUGCGCAUUUGGAACAAAAACUCACAUUUUUCUGGGAUUCCUUCAUACAUAUUGGCAGUGGAAUCUGUGCUUUCGAAACAAUGACUCUUCUUGUUGAAAUAUAAAGGGAAAUAUAGCACUACCACUUCAUAAUAUUUACUAUAGUUAAGUAAAGACAGACCAAAGUUUUCCAAAUGUCCACCAGUAUUUUAAGCCACUGUUUUGGGAUGUCCAAGCUGAAGCUAUUUAGCGAAUGCCAAAAAUAAUGAGGACUUUUAAAUUUAGGUUUAGAACUCCAUGUCCGAAUAUACCUGGACUUUGUGUUACUUCAGAUCUCCACUUUGCAAUUUAAAUUCAUGUUUCCUACCUGUUCAGAGAGAAAAGUAGAUGACUGUUAAAGUGCUGCCUGGAAUUAAAAAAAAAAAAAAUCACAGUAAGAGAAAUAGCUCUUUCAUAUUAGGAGAGGAAUUAGGGAGAGGAAUUAAACCUGCAAAUCUGUAAAUUUAUGUUCAAGUUGUGUUUUAAUUGUUGGAAUUUCUUUAAAGGAAUGCAAAAUGGGCAUCAGUAAUUUUUUCAAGGUGCUUGCUGAAACCACAAAAGAGCUUUCAUUUCCCAAUACUAGACCUAAAAUAUGUGGCUUUAACAUUUAAAGUUGACCCACUACUUUUGCAGUGCAGAAGGAAAUGGCAUGGUGCCUUCUUCCCCACCCUGUGGGCAAAAAGAUGAGAUUUGCUGCAGUGGCUGCAAAAGGUGGUAUGACAAUGCUAGCUCCCAAGGAAAAGACGUAUUUGAGUUGACCUAUUAUGCCUAUGGUGUCCCCAUAUUUCUUUCCCUUCUCCUUUGCCUUUCAUUAUAAGGUGUCCCAAAUCUGUAAUUUACAGCAUGCUGCUCCAGUUUUGCUCUGAUAUAUUUGCUACAAAUAAGUAGGAGCCUAUGCAUGUCCAUAGCUGCCUGUGGCGGUGUCAGGCCUGCGAGAUGAGGGGAGCAGAGGCGCCCACAGAAUGCAACACGGCUUAUGUCUAACGUGACAUUUAUUUGACUCAGAAAGGCAAUUGAUUAAAGGCCCAUCGGACCUUUGCCAUCAUGUAUUAUGUAUUUAUCCAGCAGGAGCAGUUUAUAACAGCCCCUGACAAAUCCUAUUACUUUUGUUGCAGAAGUUCAUAAUAUCAAUAAAAAGCAUUAAUGAUACUCA
rnacentral:lncRNA from 1 species